CUCGAGCAUGCUGCCUGAAGAAGCAGUCCCAGGGAAGUAUGGCAUCCUUUAUCCUUGCUGUAGCUGAUCCAGCCCUGCAGGAAUCCUUUGGGCCUGGAGAUGUCCAACAUUAUUCUAUGAACCGCUUGUAAAUUUCUAAUUGGACCUUCUCUGCCCAAGCCACCACAUUCCUGUGUAGUCUGUACAUCUGCCAGAAACUCUGCGUCAUCAAGAUUUUAAGCAUGAGUUGGGCCACAGAGCAGGCCAAGGGCUGUCCAAGGGCUCACAAACCCCCCAGAGCCCACCCCCAUCAGCUGGACUGGGCCAGAAUGAGGAAUAGAACCAUCACUGAGCUGACUCUGACACUCUGAAACACAGCACUCAGUGCCAAUUCAGUAUUACUGGAGAACAUAUCCCUAGCUCUAACAUUGAAUUCCAUCUCAAAUGUUAUUUCUCUUUAAGUUUCCUCUGCCUUUGAAGUAACAAAGAUGUGAUAUGUAGGAGGAGAAGAAACAGAGUUGUGAGCAGAGAUGGCAGAGGCUUCCUGCAGCUUUGGAGCAGACACUGACUGAUAUAAGUACUGAAGCUAAGGGUUUUGUCAGAACAUACAUAUGGGACUGGACAACCCUGAAAAAAUACACCACCCUAGAAAAUGACCUUACAGUGAUCAAAUAAUUAUCAAAGCACUAAGCAGAGCCACCAGCUGCAAGAAAUUCUGACUGCACCGAGAUCUAAAUCACAUCUAACCAUUCUGAUAAUGUUUCAAGCCCUAAUGUAAUGCAAUCUCAGGUUUUAGCAUCAGAUCUUGAGGAAACCUAGUCAGAAAAAGGCUGAGACACCCUGUGA